UAAACUAUCCACUUUUGAUCGCCAGUAAUCAGUCGUUUCAGAAAUGAAUCAAUUUCGUUGCGUUUCAGAAGCGAAUCGCAGAUGCUAAUGCGUUGCGUCAAAUGAAUUUCCUUAAGCUGAUGAGGGACCCAUAUAUCUAGUUUCUUGACAUAGCCAAGCUAUUUUAAUUCUUUUUUUAAUGCAUGUAUGCGAUACAUUGAGCUUCUCACGCGUUGUGCUAUGACGGUCUGAAUCGAUAAUGGCCUCGAUAUGGGUCUCAUCAACUUCGACUGGAUUUUUCAAUGAAAAAUCACCAGAACGAAAUUUGGCAAACCAAUUUUGACACUUCUUUUCUUUUAAGGCUUCAUUCCCAUAUACGGCACAUAAUUUCUUGUGUACUUGCCUUUUCGGAAAUAAUACGAUAAAAUAUGUCUGAAAUGCGCGUCUUGUUCUUCCAUUUUCAAAUUGGGAUAAAAACGAAACUAAAUAACUAAUCGAUACAGUUUUUUUACUAAAUUAAAGGUGGAAGUCCAAACAACAAGAAAACAAUAUAGGUUAUGAAAUACCGACCUGUCAAAAAUCAGACUGUUUCUUACGCCCUCUGUGAUUUCUUACGGCGAAUAUGGGAAUCAUCACAGACGGACUCAUCAGUGAUUACACAGCGAGUAUACGGCAUAAAUCCUGCACCUUAUGGUCCCAUGUUCAGAAAUAUCGAUCGUGUAAAAGAAACAGAGUGUUUGUUACGCCCUUCGCAAUCUACAGCGAUGAGUACAGGAACUGUAUUCAAUCCAACCAAUAAAGUUGGUAAUGGAAAGGAAAGAUAAAAAUUGAAUGAUUUCAAGGAGGACGUAAUUUGGUAUGAUUAGUUUUUGGUAAUUAUUUGAAAGUCUCUUCAUCAUCGGUUUCGAUGAUUUUUUAAUAUAUUGCCGGGGCAUGAUUCUGAACAACUUUUGUUUAUGCAUGUGUCACGUAAACUUGACGGUUAGAUGAUAAAAAAGAGAAGGUUGAGUCGUAACACAACUUUAUUCACUAACACAGCACAGGUUUACAAUAAUCGUGACUGAUGUUGACUAUUCUAACGGUCAAGAAUAAGUGAAGUUUUACUGACGAUACUGUGUCUGAGGAAAGCUAGGGGGUGGGUGUGUCUAAGGACACGGGACCAUCGGAUUUGUUGAUGACAAUUUUGGUUAGGAAAGUGAGGGCAGUAGACAUUGCUUCUGAUUGGAUAAAAGAAGCUUGGUGGACUAGGAAGGGUCUUAGCCGCCCUCGAUAGAUAGUUGCUAGUGUGAAGUAUCGUACGUGAGAAAAACUAAUUUUCCCGUGUCUUCCCGUAGUAAACAGUAAGCUUUAGAAACGAGUCAGUAAAGGGAUGUCGGUAUGGUCUGAAGAACUUUAGUUAGAAAAUGCCCGAAAUUUAUGAUAGGUCCUUAAGACUAUUGAGGGUAUGCAGUAAGGAUGUGCGGACAUCUGAUUGUCAUCUUGCCCGCGGUGUGUGGCCUGGUCUAGGUAGAGUGUCCCCCGACGUAACAGUGGGUCAUUGAAGUAAUUGAAGGUACGCACAUAUCUGCCCUCUAAUGUGGAUUGACGUCACACAUGCAUGUCACCGCCGUUCAGGCCUAAAUAUUUCCGAGAUACUCGUAAAAAGAACUAGAAAAUCUAUUCUUGCUACACACAGAAUUCUGCCCAUUUGUUUACAUCUACCAAUCAUCGAUCUAUUUAUGUAGCAUAAAAAAUUUGAAUCUGUGUAUGCUGCAUCUCCGAAUCUGUUAGUUAUUCUCUACCUGUAUUAAAAGUCAUUUAAGAGUUAAGAAAUCUAAUCAUAAUGAUAUUAUAUGAAUUUCUAAAUUUAUGUAAUAAUUACUAUCAGUUGGUGCAGUUUUUAAUUGAACGAAAAGUAAUUCAGACACCCAAUAAAGAUGAUAAAGACAAACAAGGAUUGCCGGUCACCUUGCAGCGGCCGGAUUGGAAGGACUAACCCAAACCCAAUACAUUGAUAAUAUUUAUGUGUAAUUCAUGUAUAAAAUAUUUCUUACAGCCUCGCAUAUUCACUUCUGCGCGGAGCUUAUAUCCGAAGGAUCUGUAAUUUCACUAAAAUAUUAAAGUUACAAUAUCUUUUAAAUUAAUCAUUUUUCGCCCCAAGUAAUACAUUUGUGUAGGGAAUUAAAAAGUGUUACAAGAUUAAAGUUACUAUAUCUUUUAAACUAAUCGUUUUUCCAAAGAAAUGUAUAGUACCACUUAAAAAAGUUACAUUGACACUAAAAUCUCUUUGAAUAAAAAUGUAAAAAGAUAUCAAAAUAUGUUACAUCUACCUAUCGAAUUUUCGCCCAUGAAGUCAAAUAAUUUUCAUCUAAAACAUUUUUUCACAUGUCCAAUACUUACUCUAUUCAAAAAUCUUUACUUUUUCCGAUCGCCUUUGUCAUUGUGCGAAAUGAUAAAUGCGAGUUAAAUGGACAUAUGUAUGUAUGCCGUAUAUACAUAUAUUAUAGAUCUUGGAUUUCUUGGUGAAAGUAUAGUUGCCAAAUCUCAUCCUACAACGCAGUUGACAUAUUUCGAUUGAGGUUUGGGUUAGGGUUAAGUUUUUCUUCGGAUGCUGUAUAUACAGGCGCGACCCUUACGAUUUCAUAGCGUAAUGUAUACGAUCCGGUUUCAUGAUCUCAAUCGUGAGAGCGCACGGUAUUUUUACUGUUUUUACCUUCCUGCAAAUUAACGUAUGAACCGAUUUUAACUUUAUGGGUUUCAUUUUGUACAUUUUUUCAAUACCUACAUGUUCCAAUAUAAACUUUUUUCUAUAAAAUCAUUAUUUCUCUUUCUACAGACGAAAAUCCCGUCUUUUACGCACUUGUGCGUUUUUUUUUUAGCAAUGGCGCCAAACUUUUUACGAGUCUCACACAUUUCAUUUCUAAUGACCUUGCGAACUAUUUUGUGCAAGAAAAUAAUUUUCCCGAAUUGUGGAUGUUUCAAAGGCUAAUUCAAAUGGCUAAUAGUCUUGGACUGAUAUCCGCAAUAUGUGAAAGAGGAAAGGAAGCUAACUGGUUGGAAGAGGGAGAGGGAGAGAGAGAGAGAGAGAGAAACAGACAGACUGACAGACAGAGAAAGAGUGAAGGAGAGAAAACCUUCUGAAUAGAUCCGAAACUGUCAAGUUAUUUGAAAAUGAUCGGACUAUCCAUAAGCCCGGGGCCACACGAAAUGCCUUGUAGAAAUACAUUGUCGUAUAUGGAAGUUGACACAUGAACGGUGUGCGUCACCGUCAACACUGCUUGCAGCCUGUAUUACUUUUUUCUCGACACAUCUAACUUCAUAUAGCUAAAUUAAGUCAUACGCGAAUUAUGCUACAUACUUUUCAUAAGGAAUCAUUGACGCCUGGUGUACACUUCCUCGUCUUUGUCGUUUUUAACUGGGUAAUCAAAGAGGAGACAUAUGAUAUGAUCACAAUAAGAUCGUAACGAAAAAUGUUGCACCUCUGUACAGGGCUUCAAAUAUGUUAACUUUUGCCGUAAAAUGUCAAAUAAAAUAUGUAUAAUAAAAAAAUAUAGAAUAAAAUGCAAA